GCCGCGCGAGGCCGCCGCCUCUGCACCCCGUCAGCGCCUGUGGCGGCCACACCUCUCCCUCCCACAGGCCUCGCUCCUCACGCCUUGCGCCCUCCCGUUCCCUUGGCAACGGCCGGUGACCUCACCAGGGUUGUAAACCGAGCCCAGAGUGAAGUCACCGCUGUUGCCAUGGGGACGCGGGGGUCGCCAAGGAAUUGGUGGGGGGUGCCCAAGAGAUGCACGAGGGUGGAUUAGUAUUUGAAGGGGCAGCGAGGAGACUGGGACGACUGAGGCUCAGCCAGGGGAGGGGUUGCUGAGGGCAGGCCCAGCGCACACAGCAGGCCCUGAGAGCCGCUGGAACAGGGCCCCUGAGGGGCAGGGCCACGCAGGGGCACCUGGAACCCAGGCAGUGGCAUCCCCGCCCCUCUCAUCUUUUCUCCUCAGCCCACCGGCCCAGGCCCCUCCAGCCUGAGACUGUCCCUCUGCCUGCCCUGCUAGUGCAGAGCCCUGUUCUAGUUCCACCUCUGCCACCAACUCCUUGGCACCUCGGACAGAUCCCCUGACCCUUCAGGUCCUCUCACCAGUUGCCUGGGGACAAUACUACUACCUCCCAGCUUCCUAGAGAGGUGAGGAUUCGCUGGCAAGUUGUCUGAACGCCCGCCGAGCGUGUCUAAGGCCCCACAGGGGUACAGCCUGGCUAGCUGCAGGGGCCACCCUCUCCAAGGCUCUGCUGUGCAUGCUGGAGGAAGGUGGUGUGAGAGUCCAGAACAGAGCUUACAGAAUCUCUGGGAAUAGCAGGAGGUCAACACAGAGACAGGCAGCUCUCCCAAGGCACAUCCGUCCAUUGGUAACCACUCUCCUAACACCACAGCUAGCUGCUGCCCAGCCUCCCAGGCUGAAUAGAGGCCCUGGGCUCUGAAAGCUGGCCCUGUGCUCUGCCUUCCAUUCUUUCCUGGCCAGCCCCUUCCUCUUCUGAAAGGAGGUAGCAGAGAUCCCCAAAUGACCCAGGCUUCCCAGCUGCUAAGGACCUCCCGGCGGCACACAGAACUUUAGAGACAAGAGAGAGCCACUUUCCCCAUGGCAAAGCCAAGGGGCCAAAAGCAGCAGCAAUGCUGGGUGAACCCCUCCGGGGGGUCUUUGGCACCGGGGGCCAGGGCAGGUUUGGGAGGCUGCAUGGUGCAGCGUGGUCUGACGCAAUGGCAGCCGUGGGAGUCAUUCCAGGAGUGCUUUGGCAUCUUUUUCCUGCCCCAAAGCACUGCAGAAUCCAGCAGACUCCACCCUGCUUUGCCUCGGGCCCUCUGCCAGGGCUGCUCCUGAGCCUGCCCUCAACUCUGGCCCUAGUUGCUACUGUCCUAGACCUCAAGACCUCCUGCCCUCUCUCUUCUUGUGGGCAGGUGAAGGAGCUGCUUCCUUCCUUGGUCCCUGGCCAAAAAAGGGAAAAAUUCUGAGUGUACACCCUAGACGUGCCAAGCAUUGUACUAGGUGUUUCCUGCACAUUAUUCAAUUUCAAGGGUGCCAAACAGACUUGACACCCCCUUUGUAUAGAAGGAUGCCCUCACUCCUGUCCCUAUUUAUCCCGCCACCCCACUCAGGGGCUCCUGGGAGCCCACACUUACCCGUAAGGACAGAGUGUCUUUGCACUGCAGGCUGAUGCCACACUCAUCAGUGAUCUCUGAGAGGUCUUCAUCCUCAAACUCCUCCAAGCUGAUGUCAUGGGAGGCAGUGCCUAGAAGGCCCAACUGGUCGGAGUGUCAGCUCUUCCAGAGAAAUGCCUCCCGGGGCCAAGGCAGGUGCCAAGGCCAGUCUACCCGUGAAGAAUGCAGAGUUGAGAAGAGACUCCAAGGCAUGUCUGGAGUAGAGGAACUCCCUGUGCCAUCCCCGCAGUACCAGGACCCAAGGUGCCGGCAGAUGGGUGGAGAGGCCCAGCCUCCCCAGCCUCAGAGGAGAGCUCAGUGCCCCCCAGCCCAGGAAGACCCACUCCUCUCGAGCCCUGGGAAGAAGUGAAGGGAAAUCUGGUGUCAAUGUGGGUAGUUUCAGCUCAUUCCGGGAGAGACUGUGUCCUCA